AUUCAGGAGAGCAAUUUGGACCUAUGACCAAAGGACUAUAAAACAGUCUAUCUAUCUAUCUAUCUAUCUAUCUAUCUAUCUAUCUAUCUAUCUAUCUACCUAUCUAUCUACCUAUCUAUGUGUCUGUCUGUGUAUCUCUCUCUCUAUCCAUCUAUCCAUCCAUCCAUCCAUCUAUCUAUCUAUCUAUCUCUCUUUCUCUCAUCUAUCUAUCCAUCUAUCUAUCUAUCUAUCUAUCUAUCUAUCUAUCAAUCUAUCUAUCUAUCCAUCCAUCUAUGUAUGUAUGUA
rnacentral:lncRNA from 1 species